rnacentral:rRNA from 1 species
GGCGGACGGGUGAGUAACACGUGAGUAACCUGCCUUACAGAGGGGAAUAACGUUUGGAAACGAACGCUAAUACCGCAUAACAUUCCGCAUCCGCAUGGAAGUGGAAUCAAAGGAGCAAUCCGCUGAAAGAUGGACUCGCGUCCGAUUAGCCAGUUGGCGGGGUAACGGCCCACCAAAGCGACGAUCGGUAGCCGGACUGAGAGGUUGAACGGCCACAUUGGGACUGAGACACGGCCCAG